rnacentral:snRNA from 1 species
AUAUGAAGGAAGCGCAGGGUUCAGGGCGAUCAGCAAGGCUCUGACCCCAGGUGGAGGCUCAGCAUUGCACUCCGCUGUGUUGAAGCCCGAGACGGACUCUAAUUGGGUUUGCCCGGGUGCGCAGUUUUUGCUAGUGGGGAGCCUUUGGGCAUCCCUU